rnacentral:rRNA from 1 species
UUCUGGUUGAUCCUGCCAGACCUGACUGCUAUCGGAUUGAUACUAAGCCAUGCGAGUCAUUGUAGUAAUACAAGGCAUACGGCUCAGUAACGCGUAGUCAACCUAACCUAUGGACGGGAAUAACCUCGGGAAACUGAGUAUAAUUCCCGAUAGAACAUUAUGCCUGGAAUGGUUUAUGUUCCAAAUGAUUUAUCGCCGUAGGAUGGGACUGCGGCCUAUCAGUUUGUUGGUGAGGUAAUGGCCCACCAAGACUAUUACAGGUACGGGCUCUGAGAGGAGUAGCCCGGAGAUGGGUACUGAGACACGGACCCAGGCCCUAUGGGGCGCAGCAGGCGAGAAAACUUUGCAAUGUGCGAAAGCACGACAAGGUUAAUCCGAGUGGUUUCUGCUAAAGGAACCUUUUGUUAGUCCUAGAAACACUAACGAAUAAGGGGUGGGCAAGUUCUGGUGUCAGCCGCCGCGGUAAAACCAGCACCUCAAGUGGUCAGGAUGAUUAUUGGGCCUAAAGCAUCCGUAGCCGGCUCUGUAAGUUUUCGGUUAAAUCUGUACGCUCAACGUACAGGCUGCCGGGAAUACUGCAGAGCUAGGGAGUGGGAGAGGUAGACGGUACUCGGGAGGAAGGGGUAAAAUCCUUUGAUCUCUCGAUGACCACCUGUGGCGAAGGCGGUCUACCAGAACACGUCCGACGGUGAGGGAUGAAAGCUGGGGGAGCAAACCGGAUUAGAUACCCGGGUAGUCCCAGCUGUAAACUAUGCAAACUCAGUGAUGCAUUGACUUGUGGUCAAUGCAGUGCUGCAGGGAAGCCGUUAAGUUUGCCGCCUGGGAAGUACGUACGCAAGUAUGAAACUUAAAGGAAUUGGCGGGGGAGCACCACAAGGGGUGAAGCCUGCGGUUCA